AUACGGAGGGUGCGAGCGUUAAUCGGAAUUACUGGGCGUAAAGCGUACGUAGGCGGUUGGUUAAGUUAGAUGUGAAAGCCCCGGGCUUAACCUGGGAACUGCAUUUAAAACUGGCGAACUAGAGUUGAGUAGAGGGGAGUGGAAUUUCAGGUGUAGAGGUGAAAUGCGUAGAGAUCUGAAGGAACAACAGUGGCGAAGGCGACUCCCUGGACUCGAACUGACGCUGAGGUACGAAAGCGUGGGUAGCAAACGGGAUUAGAAACCCCAGUAGUCC
rnacentral:rRNA from 1 species